CAUUAUUGAAUAUAAAUGUUGCAUAAUGUAAAUGAAUUGAAUAUGAAUAAAUACAAUGUGGUUAAUUUGGCCUGUUUCCAAAUUUUCUGUUUUUGCUUUGCUGUUCUCUCUAUUCAGGGACCAACAUCAUACUGCUUUAAUGAUAGAAACUGUGAUGGUAAGUCAUAAGGGGCUUUCCCUCCCUGGCUCCCCAUGCACACUUCAUUCAGACUGACACCAGCUAUAACAGG
rnacentral:lncRNA from 1 species